AUGGGUCUUUCCAUGUAUACAUUGGAGGAGGCAGAAGGUAAGGGAAGCAUUGUUAAAGGGGAUGUGGACUUGAUGACCAGUUUCCAGUGUCUGAAAUUGUCUUUUUGCACAGGGGUGAGCUGCCAACAGAGGGUGGAACAGAAUCCGCAGGUUUUGAGUGUCCAGGAGGGAGAGAAUAUCACUAUCAACUGCACAUAUUCAGACUCAAGUUCUCGAGGCAUACAGUGGUUCAGGCAGGAUCCUGGGAAAGGCCUCACCUUACUAUUUUACCUGGCCUCAGAGACAAAAGAGGCAGGAAGAUUCAAAUCCAUGAUCAGAAGACAGGAUCGUCACAUCUCUCUGUACAUCACUGCCUCCCAGUCUGGAGACUCAGCCACCUACCUGUGUGCUGUGGAGGCACAGUGA